rnacentral:snRNA from 1 species
AGACACGUCUUCUGAUUAAACUAAUACAGUUGAUGAAUUAACAGAAAAUCCAGUAUGUACUGAGUACAUAAGAGAUCGAACAGAAGCUAGAGA